UGGGCGCAGGUUUCAGCGGUGGGCGCCCACGCUCGGCUUUCCUCCGGAGACUCGCCCUCGGCCCGUGUGUGCUGGCGGCUGCUUUGCAAAGCCGAGCGCAGAAAGGAGUCACCCAAAUACAACCGUGUCCGCUGUUCGGCCUCUGCCCAGCGCUAGAGAUUUUGCAGCAAGCGGGCCACGGCUUGAGAGGGGGGUUGAGGCACUUCCACAGCAGGAAACUGGUGCCAUGGAAACCCCUGGAUCGCCUCCAUCUCCCAAACUGAGGGCUUUCCUGCAAACUUCACACUCAGGAAUCCAUGACGUCUCCCAGCUCCGGGCCAAGGCAGCUCUGUGGCUUUUCUCAGUCUGCAGCACAAGCACUUAAUUGUUGAGCCGAAAGUUACCGAGCGCGAGAGAAAUAUGGAUGAUGUUACAAAUCCCAGUGUGUGUGUUUUUAAACAAAACUUGCAGGCACUGCAAAAGCUUUCAAAGCAACGGGGCUUCUGUGCAGCUUUCUCUCGUCCCAGCAGAGAAGCUGAAGCUGCUGCUUUUUUACCUUUGCAUAAAAACAUUCAGAAAACUCAAAUCCCCGUCUCUGAUUUAAAGUCCUUGAAAUGUGCCAGCGCCCUAAUAAUAUCCAUCUUGUUAUUGGCACAGGCUUUAGCUCCUCAUUGGCACUGACUCGAUCCUUCAGUCAAUAAAUAUGGCUAGUGUCAUUUCACAAA